rnacentral:rRNA from 1 species
CUCUAGAGGGACUGCCGGCGACAAGUCGGAGGAAGUGGGAUGACGUCAAAUCAUCAUGCCCCUUAUGACCUGGGCUACACACGUGCUACAAUGGGCGGUACAAAGGGCUGCGAACCCGCGAGGGGGAGCGAAUCCCAAAAAGCCGCUCUCACGUUCGGAUUGCAGGCUGCAACUCGCCUGCAUGAAGCCGGAAUCGCUAGUAAUCGCGGAUCAGCAUGCCGCGGUGAAUACGUUCCCGGGCCUU